rnacentral:rRNA from 1 species
ACGUCUCAGUUCGGAUUGCAGGCUGCAACUCGCCUGUAUGAAGUUGGAAUCGCUAGUAAUCGCGGAUCAGCAUGCCGCGGUGAAUACGUUCCCGGGCCUUGUACACACCGCCCGUCACACCAUGAGAGUUGAGAAUACCCGAAGCCCACGUCAAAGUGGUCGAAGGUAGGCUUGAUGAUUGGGGUGAAGUCGUAACAAGGUAUC